GAUGAACGCUGGCGGCGUGCCUAAUACAUGCAAGUCGAGCGAACAGAUGAGGAGCUUGCUCCUCUGACGUUAGCGGCGGACGGGUGAGUAACACGUGGAUAACCUACCUAUAAGACUGGGAUAACUUCGGGAAACCGGAGCUAAUACCGGAUAAUAUAUUGAACCGCAUGGUUCAAUAGUGAAAGACGGUUUUGCUGUCACUUAUAGAUGGAUCCGCGCCGCAUUAGCUAGUUGGUAAGGUAACGGCUUACCAAGGCAACGAUGCGUAGCCGACCUGAGAGGGUGACGGCCCACACGGAGAGUGAGACCCGGCCCAGACCCCUGGGGGGGGAGGCAGAAGGGACUCUCCCAAAAGGGGCGAAGGCCUGAGGGACAAACCCCGGGGGAGUAAGAAAGGUUUUGGGACCUAAAAACUUUUUUAUGGGGGAAAAAAAAAUGUGAAAGAAACAAGGCCCGUCUGCAGGGAACAUAACAAAAAGCCCAGGCCAAACCCGGCC
rnacentral:rRNA from 1 species